rnacentral:sRNA from 1 species
CACAGGUCUGAGGGCCUGAUGUGUAUGAAACCAUUCUGCAGAGCUGGGAACGGGUCAGGAGGUGGUGUGUGCGUGUGUGUGCAUUGCUGGAGGGCACUCCUUGUGUGCUCUGAGUGUGACAGAGGAAGUCACCCUGGACUUAGGUUGGAUGGGAGAGCGUGUCUGUGUGUCUCAGAGCCACCAAGGAGGAGCAGGGGAGCGAAGGCCGGGGCAGAAGUUGAGACCACCCAGCAGAGGAGCUAGGCCAGUCCAUCUGCAUUUGUCAACCAAGAACUCUUACCAUGAAGACCCUCCUACUGUUGGCAGUGAUCAUGAUCUUUGAAUGAUCAAGUUGACGACAGGAAAGGAAGCCUCACUCAGUUAUGCCUUCUACGGCUGCCACUGUGGCGUGGGUGGCAAAGGAUCCCCCAAGGAUGCAACGGAUCGGUGAGGCCACCCAUCCCUCCCUACCCUCCUAGACUCUGGCCCAGGCAGGGCUGGGAGCUGCAAAGACAGUGCCAGUUCCUGAUGGGCACAGAGGUCUCAGGAUGGCCUGGCUGGAAAAGCAGCCAGCAUGUUGG